GAUGAAGAACGUAGCGAAAUGCGAUAAGUAAUGUGAAUUGCAGAAUUCAGUGAAUCAUCGAAUCUUUGAACGCACAUUGCGCCCGUCAGUAUUCUGGCGGGCAUGCCUGUUCGAGCGUCAUUACGCCCCUCAAGUCCCCUGUGGACUUGGUGUUGGGGAUCGGCGAGGCUGGUUUUCCAGCACAGCCGUCCCUUAAAUUAAUUGGCGGUCUCGCCGUGGCCCUCCUCUGCGCAGUAGUAAAACACUCGCAACAGGAGCCCGGCGCGGUCCACUGCCGUAAAACCCCCCAACUUUUUAUAGUUGACCUCGAAUCAGGUAGGACUACCCGCUGAACUUAAGCAUAUCAUAAGCGGAGGA
rnacentral:misc_RNA from 1 species